CCUACGGGCGGCAGCAGUGAGGAAUAUUGGUCAAUGGCCGGGAGGCUGAACCAGCCAAGUAGCGUGAGGGAAGACGGCCCUACGGGUUGUAAACCUCUUUUGUAAGGGAGCAAGGUGCAGGGCGGGAGCUGCUGUGAGAGUACCUGAAGAAAAAGCAUCGGCUAACGCCGUGCCAGCAGCCGCGGUAAUACGGAGGAGGCGAGCUUUAUCCGGAUUUAGUGGGUGUAAAGGGUGCGCAGGCGGAGGCCCAAGUCAGCGGUAAAAUCGCGGGGCUCAACCCCGCACCGCCGUUGAAACUGUGUCCCUUGAGUGCGCGACGGGUAGGCGGAAUGCGUGGUGUAGCGGUGAACUGCCUAGCUAUCCCGC
rnacentral:rRNA from 1 species